rnacentral:misc_RNA from 1 species
CUUCUGGUUAGGCCUUGACUGCACGCUCUGAAUACUCUGUUUGAUUCGAUUUUCGCUCGAGGAAGAUAGAUCUGCGAGGCUGCAAGCUCGAGUGAUUAGCAAUNNNNNNNNNNNCGUUCUAUCGGUGGUUGGCUGAGAAGUAUCCAAUGGUGGUGGUGGAUGUAAUCGAGGAAGAACCUGUGGUUAUAGACGGAGUUAAGAUUCCGGUGGAUACGAGUAAACCUAACACAACAUUGAAUACGAUAAUUUGUAUCUCGACAUGAACGGGAUUAUUCAUCCUUGCUUCCACCCCGAAGACAGGCCUUCCCCAACCUCUUUCGAUGAGGUAUUCCAGUGCAUGUUUGACUACAUUGAUAGAUUGUUUGUGAUGGUGAGACCUCGAAAGUUGCUAUACAUGGCAAUUGAUGGUGUUGCUCCUCGGGCUAAAAUGAAUCAGCAACGAUCUAGGCGAUUUAGAGCAGCUAAAGAUGCAGCUGAUGCGGCAGCUGAGGAAGAGAGGCUAAGAGAGGAGUUUGAGAGGGAGGGCAGAAAGCUACCACCUAAAGAGGGCUCACAGGUUUUUGAUUCCAAUGUUAUCACUCCUGGAACUGAAUUUAUGGCUGUUCUGUCAAUUGCACUGCAGUACUACAUUCAUCUUAGACUAAAUUAUGAUCCUGGCUGGAAAAAAAUUAAGGUUAUCCUUUCUGAUGCAAAUGUUCCUGGUGAAGGGGAACACAAGAUUAUGUCAUACAUUCGUCUUCAGAGAAAUCUUCCUGGUUACAAUCCAAAUACACGCCAUUGCCUUUGUGGUUUGGAUGCAGAUCUGAUUAUGUUGGCUUUGGCUACCCAUGAAGUUCAUUUUUCAAUUCUUAGAGAGAUUGUUUUUACGCCUGGCCAACAAGAUAAAUGCUUCCUAUGCGGUCAAAUGGGCCAUUUAGCAGCAGGUUGUGAAGGAAAGGCGAAGAGGAAGUCAGGGGAGUUUGAUGAGAAAGGUGAUGAGAAUGUUGUGGUAAAAAAGCCAUACCAGUUUCUCAAUAUUUGGACACUUAGAGAGUAUCUGGAAUAUGAAAUGAGAAUUCCUAACCCACCAUUUAAGAUUGAUUUGGAAUGCAUUGUGGAUGAUUUUAUAUUCAUGUGUUUCUUUGUUGGCAAUGAUUUUUUGCC